GUCCCGCAGCAAUGCGGGAUGCUGGCGACCGGCAAACGGGUGCGGAACACGUACACAACCUUCCUUUAAGUGGGGAAUAGCCCGGGGAAACCCGGAUUAAUACCCCGUAAUAUAAUAGAGUGGCAUCGCUUUAUUAUUAUAGCUCCGGCGCUUGAAGAUGGGUGUGCGACUGAUUAGGCAGUUGGCGGGGUAACGGCCCACCAAACCUACGAUCAGUAACUGGUGUGAGAGCACGACCAGUCACACGGGCACUGAGACACGGGCCCGACUCCUACGGGAGGCAGCAGUAAGGAAUAUUGGUCAAUGGACGCAAGUCUGAACCAGCCAUGCCGCGUGGAGGAUGAAGGUCCUCUGGAUUGUAAACUUCUUUUAUCUGGGAAGAAAUCCACAAAUUCUUUUGUGGUUGACGGUACCAGAUGAAUAAGCACCGGCUAACUCCGUGCCAGCAGCCGCGGUAAUACGGAGGGUGCAAGCGUUAUCCGGAUUCACUGGGUUUAAAGGGUGCGUAGGUGGGUUGGUAAGUCAGUGGUGAAAUCUCCAGGCUUAACUUGGAAACUGCCAUUGAUACUAUCAAUCUUGAAUACCGUGGAGGUCAGCGGAAUAUGUCAUGUAGCGGUGAAAUGCUUAGAUAUGACAUAGAACACCAAUUGCGAAGGCAGCUGGCUACACGAAUAUUGACACUGAUGCACGAAAGCGUGGGGAUCAAACAGGAUUAGAUACCCUGGUAGUCCACGCCCUAAACGAUGGAUACUCGACAUACGCGAUAUACUGUGUGUGUCUGAGCGAAAGCAUUAAGUAUCCCACCU
rnacentral:rRNA from 1 species